UAUUCUUUCUAAUUACUCUAUUGGAUGUAGAGGAAAUGUAGAAUCACUUGUGAAGCUACUGGUUGAUUGCAUCUUGGAAGCCAAAGAAAAUAUUGAUGGAAACUUUGCUGCUUCUCUUCAUAAUGAAAACAUGGAAAGACAUUAUGACAUAUGACAUUUAAGUUCAAAUGGUCGAGAUUUACAAUGAACAAGUUAGAGACCUACUUACUUAGGACAAAACAGAUGAUAAAUUAAAGAUUAGGAGCUGCAAUGAUGAUGAAUUAAGUCUUCCUUAUGCUACAUUGUGUCUGGUGACAUCUACAGCUGACGUUCUGACCCUCAUGAAACUCAGUGAGGUCAACCGUGCUGUCAAUUCCGUUGCACUUAACAAUAGGAAUAGUCGUUCCCACAGUGUACUCACCGUGCAUGUUCACGGAAAAGAUACAUAGAAUUCAUGGAUCCGGGUCGAAUCGCAUAUCUUUGCUAGAAGGGAAGCCAGUACCAUAUAAGAAGGAGAGAGAUGCUAGAACACCUCCUCUGACAGCAGCAAGGACCUCGAAACGGUGGCUGUAGGAAGACUUCAAGAGCCAGAUAUCAAUGCUGGGGUGGUUACUUUGAUUCAAAGCAACCCCAAUAGCUCCAAGCCUCCAAUUUAGUAUUUUUUCUUUGUGGUUUUCUUUUUUUCUUCAGUGUUUCUUAUAGAAUCUUGGUGAUUUGACAAACAGCUUUAUUUAACUGACGAUCUAUGCUAAAAUUUGGUCUAAGGUAGUUUAUUUGUUGUAUUGCCAUUCUUAUACUUUUUGUGCAUCUAUGUGUGAGUUGCUAUGAAACU